AGUCCUUCGCCGUCCCUCGCCGUCCUUCGCCAUCGCACGCCACCGCACCCCAUCUCUCGAAAUCUGCAGACAUCUUGAUUUUUCCCACGCUGUCUGUCAGGUCUCCGCCGCCACUCGACGCCAGGGCGCCGGGUGAGUCCACAGCAGGGCGCAUGGUCGGCUCCACUCUCACCAUCGGGGGAAACUGAGGCCCCGGGGAAGGCGGCCAGAGAGGUCAGGCCCUGUCCUUGGUGCAGUGUCUCGUCCUCUUUGCCGGAGUGAGCCCCCCAGGAUUCGCGUGUCCUCGGGAAAGACACUGGCAGGCCUUGUGGGCUGUGCUGCACCUCGGACGGCUUCGCACCAGCCAGCGCCCUCUCUCUCCUGCAGCACUCUGAUCUGCACCCCCUGAGGGGCUUCCACUGUCCGCGGGGUGAGAAUGCCCCUGGGAGUGUCACAUGACUGCCGCCCCAUGUGUGUGAGAGGCGUCCUCUGGGAGAGCAUGGAUCCUGAGGUCCCAGGAACAUCCCGAGAGCCAAGUUCCCAGAUGCCAGCCAAGGGCCAUCUGACCUGUUUUGAAUCUCAAUUUCCUGAUACAGAAAACAAAGGAUUGUCAGCUGACCUCUGUCCUGUGUGCCCAGUGGCCCCAGGUGACGUGUCUUCAAGAAGAGGCUGAGCUGCGGUGCUUGUAAGGUCUCAGCCUUAGAUCCAAGGACAGUCCAAGGAAGUCCUAAGACCAUGGAGUUGGUGAUCUGGGAUCUGGGUUUGCUGAUAUUUCUCACCGUGAAUCUCUUGGUGGUGUUUGUGGGCACGAGAGGGGCAGAGAAUGGAGAGUGAGGCUACCACAUGAAGCGUCACCAGAGCUGCUCCCUGCUGCCUGCUCAGAGCACCCCGGAUCCACUGUUCAAUCUGCACAAGAUUCGGGGUCCAGACAUGGGAGACUUCAGCUGCCUCAGAGGACCGUGGACAGGGAAGGCCAGCCUCGCAUCCCUCUGUCCAUGCCUGGAAUGACUUUAAUAACCAAGAGUUUUAUUUUUGAAUUUGUAGCUGUCGUUCACUUUUUACCCACCCAUUCAAUAAACCUUACAGAAUUGCUCCA
rnacentral:lncRNA from 1 species